CCUACGGGCGACAGCAGUGGGGAAUAUUGCACAAUGGGGGAAACCCUGAUGCAGCGACGCCGCGUGAGUGAAGAAGUUAUUCGUUAUGUAAAGCUCUAUCAGUAGGGAAGAAAAUGAGGGUACGUGAGUAAGAAGGCCCGGACAACUACGUGCCAGCAGGCGCGGUAAUACGUAGGGGGCAAGCGUUUUCCGGAUUUACUGGGUGUAAAGGGAGCGUAGACGGUGGUGCAAGUCUGGAGGGAAAGGCGGGGGCUCAAACCCCGGACUGGUCUGGAAACUGUACGGCUGGGGUGCAGGAGAGGUAAGUGGGAUUCCCAGGGUAGCGGUGAAAUGCG
rnacentral:rRNA from 1 species